rnacentral:rRNA from 1 species
UUCCGGUUGAUCCUGCCGGCGGCCACCGCUAUUGGAAUUCGAUUAAGACAUGCGAGUCGAGAGUCGCAAGGACUCGGCGGACCGCUCAGUAACACGCGGAUAACAUGCCCUUGGGUGGGGGAUAACCUCGGGAAACUGAGAAUAAUACCCCAUAGAUCUAGAAAGCUGGAAUGCUUUUAGAUCGAAAACUCCGGUGCCCAAGGAUUGGUCUGCGGCGUAUCAGGUUGUAGUGGGUGUAACGGACCCCCUAGCCUAUGACGCGUAAGGGCCUUGAGAGAGGGAGCCCUGAGAUGGACUCUGAGACAUGAGUCCAGGCCCUACGGGGCGCAGCAGUCGCGAAAACUUCACAAUGGGGGAAACCCCGAUGAGGGAAUUCCAAGUGCCAGCACAUUGUGUUGGCUGUUCUCUGGUCUAAAAAACCGGAGAAGUAAGGGCCGGGUAAGACGGGUGCCAGCCGCCGCGGUAAUACCCGCGGCCCGAGUGGUGGUCGAUAUUAUUGAGCCUAAAACGUCCGUAGCCGGUUUUGUAAAUCCUUGGGUAAAUCGACCAGCUUAACUGUUCGAAGUCCGGGGAGACUGUAAGACUUGGGAUCGGGAGAGGUGAGAGGUACUUCUGGGGUAGGGGUAAAAUCCUGUAAUCCUAGAAGGACCACCGGUGGCGAAGGCGUCUCACUAGAACGAAUCCGACGGUGAGGGACGAAGCCCUGGGGCGCAAACGGGAUUAGAUACCCCGGUAGUCCAGGGUGUAAACGCUGCGGGCUUGGUGUUGGGGGUCCUUUGAGGGCGCCCAGUGCCGGAGAGAAGUUGUUAAGCCUGCUGCUUGGGGAGUACGUCCGCAAGGAUGAAACUUAAAGGAAUUGGCGGG